rnacentral:rRNA from 1 species
GAUGAACGCUAGCGAUAGGCUUAACACAUGCAAGUCGAGGGGCAGCAUGGUCUUAGCUUGCUAAGACUGAUGGCGACCGGCGCACGGGUGCGUAACGCGUAUGCAACUUGCCUCACAGAGGGGGAUAACCCGUCGAAAGACGGACUAAUACCGCGUACACUUGGGAUAGGGCAUCCUGACCCAAGGAAAUGAAAUUCGCUGUGAGAUAGGCAUGCGUCCCAUUAGCUAGUUGGUGAGGUAACGGCUCACCAAGGCGACGAUGGGUAGGGGAACUGAGAGGGUGAACCCCCACACUGGUACUGGGACACGGACCAGACUCCUACGGGAGGCAGCAGUGAGGAAUAUUGGUCAAUGGGCGAGAGCCUGAACCAGCCAAGUCGCGUGAAGGAUGACUGUCUUAUGGAUUGUAAACUUCUUUUAUACGGGAAUAACAAGAGCCACGUGUGGCUCCCUGCAUGUACCGUAUGAAUAAGCAUCGGCUAACUACGUG